AGAAUCUUCCGCAAUGGACGAAAGUCUGACGGAGCGACGCCGCGUGGAGGACGAAGGCCUUCGGGUUGUAAACUCCUGUCACGAGUUAUGAAGUCUGUAUGGCGAACAGCCGUGCAGAUUGACAAAGGCUCGAAAGGAAGCACUGGCUAACUCUGUGCCAGCAGCCGCGGUAAUACAGAGAGUGCGAACGUUGUUCGGAAUUACUGGGCUUAAAGCGCACGUAGGCGGCAUGACAAGUGUCGGGUGAAAUCCCACGGCUCACCCGUGGAACUGCCCGGCAAACUGUCAUGCUCGAGUGUGGUAGGGGAGAACAGAACUCCUGGUGGAGCGGUGAAAUGCGUAGAUAUCAGGAGGAAUACCGGUGGCGAAGGCGGUUCUCUGGUCCACAACUGACGCUGAGGUGCGAAAGCUAGGGUAGCGAAC
rnacentral:rRNA from 1 species